rnacentral:lncRNA from 1 species
AGAAGCUGUAUUCGGCCAUGGUUGAAAGAAAAGGAAUGAAAUCCGAAUUCUAACUUUCACUAAAUUGUCAACAACCCCAAAUCCCAAAAAUCCCUCUUCCAAUUCGGCUACACACUCUCCAUCAACUUCCUAUCCCUUAAUUUUCUACUAUUAUCUUUCCACAACAACAACCUCCCAAAAUCCCAAUAUUCUCUCCUCAAAUCUCUCUAUGACUAGUUCAAACUCCAUUUAGCAGUAUUUCAAUCCAACUCUACCACCCAUACGAAUACGAAUUAGGCAGCAAAAUAAAUACUCCCCUUUUGAUGUGCCACCACUUGAACCUUAGACCCCAUGUACACUCCUCACGCC